rnacentral:rRNA from 1 species
GAUGAACGCUGGCGGCGUGCCUAAUACAUGCAAGUCGAGCGAACGGACGAGAAGCUUGCUUCUCUGAUGUUAGCGGCGGACGGGUGAGUAACACGUGGAUAACCUACCUAUAAGACUGGGAUAACUUCGGGAAACCGGAGCUAAUACCGGAUGAUAUUUUGAACCGCAUGGUUCAAAAGUGAAAGACGGUCUUGCUGUCACUUAUAGAUGGAUCCGCGCUGCAUUAGCUAGUUGGUAAGGUAACGGCUUACCAAGGCAACGAUGCAUAGCCGACCUGAGAGGGUGGUCGGCCACACUGGAACGGAGACACGGUCCAGACGCCUACGGGAGGCAGCAGUAGGGAAUCUUCCGCAAUGGGCGAAAGCCUGACGGAGCAACGCCGCGUGAGUGAUGAAGGUCUUCGGAUCGUAAAACUCUGUUAUUAGGGAAGAACAUAUGUGUAAGUAACUGUGCACAUCUUGACGGUACCUAAUCAGAAAGCCACGGCUAACUACGUG